rnacentral:rRNA from 1 species
AUACGUAGGGGGCGAGCGUUGUCCGGAAUGAUUGGGCGUAAAGGGCGCGUAGGCGGCCCGGUAAGUCUGGAGUGAAAGUCCUGUUUUUAAGAUGGGAAUUGCUUUGGAUACUGUCGGGCUUGAGUGCAGGAGAGGUAAGUGGAAUUCCCAGUGUAGCGGUGAAAUGCGUAGAGAUUGGGAGGAACACCAGUGGCGAAGGCGAAUUACUGGACUGUAACAGACGCUGAGGCGCGAAAGUGUGGGGAGCAAACAGGAUUAGAUACCCUGGUAGUCCACACUGUAAACGAUGAAUGCUUGGUGUAGGGGGUAUCGACCCCUUCUGUGCCGCAGUCAACACAAUAAGCAUUCCGCCUGGGGAGUACGGCCGCAAGGUUGAAACUCAAAGGAAUUGACGGGG